CUCCGAUGCGGAAAAAGCUGUCGUCUCCGAUGGAUGAAUUAUCUCCGACCUUCUGUUAAACGUGGCCAGAUUGCUCCCGAUGAAGAAGAUCUCAUCCUCCGCCUUCACCGCCUUUUAGGGAAUCGGUAACUUUUUCCUCUCUUUUUUUCUAUGAAUUUCAUUUUAGGGUUUUGGAUUAGAUAUCUGGAUAUCUCAAGAUAAACUGUCUAACUUAAUUCGACUUCAAAUCUAAUUAGAUUCAAUGCAGAAACCUCGAAUCUUAUACAAAAAAGUUGUAGGUCUAGGGUUUCAGUGUUUUAGGGUUCUAAAUGGAUUCAUUUUGUAAUCAUUUUUUGCAUACGGUUUCUAUAUAUAUAUACAUGUAUGCGUGUGUACGUAUAUGCAACAUGAAUGAAUGAAUUUGCUGGGUUUGUUAUGUAGGUGGUCACUAAUAGCUGGAAGAAUACCAGGGCGUACAGAUAACGAAAUAAAGAACUACUGGAAUACUCACCUGAGUAAGAAAUUGAUAAGUCAAGGGAUCGAUCCUCGAACGCACAAGCCUUUAAACCCUCAACAACUCUCACCAUCACCACCAUCACUCAAACCUUCACCUUCUUCAUCAUCAUCCAUGGCGAAACCAAACAAUCCUCCUUCCCCUCUUCCUGUUCAUGUCGUCAACGCUAACAAGCAAAAUGAUUAUGACGAUGGGAGCAAUGAAGACCAUCAAGGGAUGAUCAUGAACAAUGACCAUUAUCAGCAACAACAAGAUCAUGAUGAUGAUGUGUUCUCUUCUUUUCUGAAUUCAUUGAUAAAUGAAGAUGAUGAUGCAUUGGUUUCGAAUUUGGGACUCUCACAAGGAUGGGAAUCUACUCCCUUCGAUCAACCAAAAUGACCCAAUAGAGGGUUUGAUGAUGAAUGUUAUUUAUAUAGUUUUUUUUCAAAGUGUGUUGAUUGUAUGUUUAAAUCAUGUUGUUGCCAAACUUAAUUCAUCAAACCUGAUGGUUCUUUUUAUGUUUGUUGUGUUUGAAAGAAACAUAUGAAUGUAUUGUUUCAAACAAAGAUAUAUAUAUAUGGAACACUACUUUGAUAUAUAAACUUGUAUUUGGAUGCAUUUUCUUAAUCAAAGUUGAGUUUAUAUUUAAUGUACUGAUAGUGUAUAAUUCAGUCAAAUAUCAAAUAAUGAUAGUGUCGUUUAAAAUGAAGUUAGUUGAAUUUUCUUUGAAGAAACUUUCGAAGAACACUAUUAACACAUCAAAGUAUAAACUUUUAAAAUAUUUCUAAGGUAAAGUUUGGAAUUUUGUUUUUUGAAAUGCGGAUUUGGGUUUCAAAUUUAGUGUAAAGCAAGUAAAAACGCACCUAGAAAUAUAACCUUAAUAAACUAUUAAAUACUUAUUUAGUAAUGGAUUUGAAAUUCAAGGAGGAAUUCAUGAACUUGAGAAUUCCUAUUUUUUUAUAAUUUUUAAAUACAUAGUUAUUUAUAAUAUAUGCAUUUCAUAACUUCAUGUUCCCAAAUGCUAAUUUCGUCAAAUACAUUUCAUUUGCUAACCUUAGCUCUAAUACAUAUUUUUAGGCAUUUUGAUAAUUAGAUUUUAGGGAUUAAUGGGUGUUUUACUUGGUUUAUGAAGAGUUUUUCAAGUAUUAGAUUUUUUUUUUAAAAAAAAGGCAUUCUACACUCAAAUAAUUGAAAUAAUUAAACAUUUUAACAAUUAAUUAAAUACAUUAUCAGUACAUUAAAUAUAUAUUAUUUGGAUUAAAUUUAUAUAUAUAAUGAGAUUUUAUUUUUAAUAUAUAUUUUCAUCUUCCCUUCAAUAAUUGAAACCCUAAACCCUAUUUUUUUAAAUAAUUAAAUGAUUAUCAAAUAGUUUCUCUACAUUAAGUUUUUACAACACUUUAAUCCAUCCAAAUUAUCGUUUACUCAUGCAAAAUGGUGUAGAACAUUGUUGAGUAACAAUGAAAACAAAGACAACAAGCAAAGGCCAAAGGACUAAAUUAAAACAGCAAGCAAAGCAAAGGGAUUGAUAAAUAAAGGUAAAUAUCAGUAAAUCUUCAAAAAAAUAAACCCUAAUUGUAGGUCUACUUUACUCUCAGUAUUAAACUACCGGUCCUUUUAAUUGGUAGCUGGUUUCAUUUUGUGCUACCUAAAUUUUCAUAGCUUCUACGUACCCGCUCUUCCAUGCAAAAAUAGAUUUUUAAAAUCGCCUAACGGUCAACGCUAUAUCUACAAAAAAUAAAUUUUUUUUAGAAAUAAUAACUAGUAAUUAAAUUAAAGCGUAAUUUGUCGAUUGAGUCUUAACUCGAUUGGUAUUAGUAUUAUUGCCAAUACAAGAGAACUUGGGUUCAAAUGUGCUGAAAUGCAUUAUUUUCUUAUUUAUAGGUUGGGUGAGGUUAUGAGUAGUUUUAAGUAUUGUGUCAAAAAGAAAAGAUAUAAUCAGAACAUAUAAUGAGAUUGUUCAAAAAAAUUAAAAUGCAAUUUUUUAGAUUAAUAAUAAUUUCGUAACAAGUCAAUUGGGCACCAACUCAAUUAAGGGAGUUUAUAAAAUCAACAAAUUUAUACUUUUCAAAUAUAUAAUUAUUCAUAAUGUCUACAUUUUAUUCCUACAAUUCAUAUAUCAGAAAAAAUUUAAAUCUAAAAUUUCAAAUUCAUGUUCCUGAACACAACAUGAGUUAAUUGAUCAAAACCAUUAAUUUCAUUUGUUAAUCUUAGCUAAUAUAUAUACACACAUUUGAAGAACAUCUGAAGGUAAUGGGAUUAAUGGUUGUUUUGAUUAGUUUAUGACGAGUUUUUCAAGUAUUAGAAGUAAUUGAUUUUAACACUAUAUUAUUAUUAUUUUUUUAAUUACAAGAGGAGAGUAAAACCCUAACAACAAAGCGACUAGCGCGACUCAAACCCAUAUUACACUUGGGAUAAUAAAUACCCCAACUUUCAGACCAACACGUGGAAUUCUAAAACUAUAUUAUUAAAUUUGUUAAAAUAUACAUAAUUCAUUUUUUGGAUUAAGUUCUUAUAUAUAGUUACAAGUCAAAACUUCUUAAAUGAAAGUACUAGAAUAAGCAUAUUUAAUGAAAUUUUGUUUUGUAAUAUAUAUUUUAACUUUCCCUUCAAUAAUUCAUAAAUAUAUAAAGAGGAGAAUUAUUGUUCUUUUCCCAUUUUUAUGUUAAAAUUAAUGAUAUGGUUUAAUAAAGUUGAGUCUUUAAAAAGAUUUAAAAAAAUAAUUAAAUUAGUAUCCUAUAGUUUAUCUAAGAUAAACCUUAAAUCCUAACCUAAACGGGCCGAUCAAAUCAGUUGGACCCACGACCAGUUGUCUGAUCAGUUUAAUCAUCGGUAUAAUUUUAAAAACCUUAAAAAUUAUAUAAUUACUCUAUUUUUCUAAGAGAAAUUGAAUAAAAAAAAUUUUCAAAGGACUAAAUUAAAAACAACAAGCAAAGCAAAAGGAUUAAUAACAGGGGUUGAUCUAAGGGGGGCUGGCAAGGGCCUCGGCCCCCCUAAAAUGAAAAAAAUUCCAUUUUAACUCUUUAUAGUUUAUAAAAUUUAAAUUAGUAAUGGUAAAAUUAUACUUUGCCCCCACAAAAAUGAUAAAAAUUUGAUUCAAUCCUCUAAAAAUUAUAAAAAUAUAGACUAUUAAAAUUGUGAAAUUAUAUUUUUACUAUCAUAAAAUAUAUAAUUUAAUUCUGCCCAAAAAAAUUUCUAAUUUCAUCCUUGACCCUUAAAUCAUAUUUCUAGAUCUGCCACGAGUUAAUAAAUAAAGGUAAAUAAUUUUUAAUUACUUCAAAAAGAAAAAAAGAACCCUUAAUUUUAGGUCUACUUUAGGCUCAAAAUUAAACUACCAGUCUUUUCAAUCGGUAGCUGGCUUCAUUUUGUGCUUACCUAAAUUUUUUGUAGUUUCUACGUACCACCUGUUCUUCCAUGCAAAACACAAUUUUCUAAACCGCCUAACGGUCAACCGUUUUAUCUACGUAAAAUAAAGUUUUUUAUUUUAGAAAUAUAUUAUUAGUAAUUAAAUUAAAGUAGAAUUUUUAGGUAAAUAAUAAUGUUACUUAUGUUAACAGGUUAGUUAAGUUGGAGAUCCCGAGUCAAGUUUGAGUUUUAUUAUGCUUAAUUGCAAUGUGUGGAUUCAGGAAUGAAUCUAAUUUUUUUUUUAAGAAGAGCCAAAAUUUAAUUAUAAACUUUUGAGAGGUCAAAAUAUAAUUUUAUCAUAUAUUAAUUUAUAAUUUUAUUAUUUUAGAGGUGAUUAAACAAGUAAUUUUCCAUUUGGGGAUCCUUUAAAUUUGCCACUGCGUGGAUCUCGAGUCCCAUCAUGUACAUAUAUCAUGUAUGGGUUUUUUUUUUCUUCUGGUUUUCUUCAUCUUUUGUGUUUUAUAUAUAUUUGUUUGAUUCUAUAUUAUAAUUAUUCAUAUAAAUAUUUAUAUUUAUAGUAUACUUGUAAAUGUACCGUAUUUGUAAUAGUAAAACUUAAAAAAUGUUAUUUAUUGAUAAUUCGAUGAAAUAGAAUUAUUUUAAUUUUUUUAUAGCCAAAUACAAGCUAAGUUGUAGAAAUUUUUAUUUUAAGUUUUAUUUAUCUAUUAUUUAUCUAAAUUGAUUGAUUUUUUUUAGAUUGAAUUAGGUAUUAUAGGUAAUUGUUCAUAAACAAUAUAAGAUGGAGACCUAUAAUAAAUUUGAUGAAAUAAUUUGUUGAUAGGAUAGGUAUAUAUACCUUUUAACCUUAUGAAAUCAUGAUUAAAGUCGAUUUUUAAUGUAUUGUUUUAAUGUUAAUUAGGACCAUAAAUGAACUGACGUAAACAAAUUUAUAUUUAUGUUUGGUUCAUAUUUAUUGAAAAUUUUAAAAUAAUAUUUGUGUUCGUUUAUUUAAACUUUUGUGUGUUUAUAUUAAUUCGUUUAAGUUAAAUGAAUUUAUUCCUAAAUAUUAAACAAACAUAUUCUUGAACAUAUAACUAAAUAUAUUCACAAAUAAUAUUCAUGAAUAAUAAGAUAUAAAUAAAAUUAUUAUUCACGAUUUUAUUUAUUUAAUAUAAACUAAUAAAAUCCCAACUAUUCAUUAGAAGCUUUGUCUAUUUACUGACCCAAUAUUAAAUUAUUAAUUAUAGCGAAUUGAGUUAGGAGGCAAUUUUAGGUUGACUAUUCAAUAUUUUCAUUAUGGCAUAGAGAAUUCUAAAUUCUUAAAUCUUCAUAGAAUAAAAAUAAAUAAAAUUUAUUUUUAAUAAAAAUAUAAUAUAAAACAAUUUUAUUGUCAGAAGGGUUCUUUUAUUAAUAAAAUAAAAAAGUUGAUAUUUAAAAACUAUUUAAAUAAUUUCUUUUCUUUGGACUUUAAUUUAUGAAUUUUUCAAUUUUCCAAAACAUUGAUAAAUAGAAUGAAGAUUUUUUUUAUUUUUUUUAAAUAUUUGUAUGUUAAAUUUUUUUAAAAAAUAAUUUUUAUUUUCUCAUAUCAAACACAUAAUAUUGUUUAAAUUUAAAUUAUUAAUUUAUUUCAAUUAAAGUAUUUUACUUGGUAUUUAUAUUACCAACUCUUAAGCCUUACACAUGGGAAACUUUCCACGCUAUGAGAGGGUUGGUCAACACACACAAAAAAGUAUUUACAUAACUAGGCCAGAAAUCAGAAUUUUUUUUUUGGCGGAAUUAAGUUGUAUAUUUUUAUAAAAGUAAAAAUAUAUUUUUAUUAUUUUAAUAGCUGUAUCUUUAUAAUGUUUAAAAGACUAAAUCAAUUUUUUUAUCAUUUUAGAGGGAGCAAAGUGUAGUUUUACCAUUACUAAUUUAAAAUUUUAUAAAUUAUAAAAAAAAAAUUCAUUUUAAAGGGGUCAGGCUAUCUGCAAAAGUUCAAAAUAUCUAAUAUUUGAAAAGGUUUUGACAAAAAUAUUAAGCCUAAAAAAAUAGACUUGAACAAAAAUUAAAUGUUUAAAGUAUGAGUCGAGCCCAAAUUCCAACAUUCAAGGCCAAAGCGUAACCUAUUUCAAUCUAUUUUACUUAUGUAAUAUAAUGUAUCUAACACUACCCAAACAUUAAAAAAAUAUGUUAUCUAUAUGUUUAAAUUUUUAAUUCAAGUUUAUAAAAAAAAUUUAAAAAUAACUCAAGCAUGCCUAAAAUGAGUUUGGGUUACUCAUUUACAAACAUGGAAGAACUUGAACCAAGUUCUAAGUCCAUAUUUCGGGUCGAGUCAAACUUGAACAAGUAUAAAGUAUUUUAAUAUCAGACAUAGGUCUAGCCCAAAUUUGAUUAGGCUCAACCAUAAACACCCUAUAAGUCACACGAAUAAACAUAUUUUUUGAAAUUAUAUUUAAAAUGACAUUCAUUAUAAUUAAAAUAAUUUAAUAAAUUCAAAUUUAAAUCAUUUUAACACUAGCAAUAAAAACUAUACGUGAAAGUAUAAAUUAAAACACACACAACUUCCUCAAAUGUUUAUAAAUUAAAAUUAUAAAUUCAUUUCUACUAUGUAAUGAGUAAAUAAUCAUCAAUUUCAUACUUUUAAUCUUAUUAUAUAAUGUAAAAAUAUAUAUAUAAUAAUUCUCCCACGAAGAAAAUCGAAAUUAUUGUAACAAUAAUAAUUACUUUUAAUUAAUAUCUGAAAUUAAUGUAUUUUUAUAAUUAUUUUGAUCUUUUUUUCAACAUUUUGAAGUUCUUUUACAUUUAUUUGUGCCAAGCAAAAACAAAGUCAAAAUUCACCAUUUUUCAACAAAAUCAUCAACCACAAUGUUAUGAAAGAACAAUAAGAGAUGAAAUAAAAUAUAUAUAUAUAAAUGAAAAAAGAAAAUAAAGAACAAUACUAACCUGGAAAAAAAAACCUUGUUUAGCGGUUUGAUCCGGCUCGUUUUUCAAAUUUAACCAUGUUCCAAUAUGAUUAUCGAAUAUCGAAAACGAUUUCCGAACUAAAUGCAUUCACAUGUAUUUUUGAAAAAUAAAAAAAAAUAAUUAUUAUGAACUUAAAAAUAUAAAGAAAAGAGAGAGAGAGAGUACAUAAGAAAGGAAGAAGAUUUUUUUGGGGGGUGUUUAAUGUAUGAGCAAAAUUAUAGUAAUGAUGAUAAUAGAAAGGGAUUUAAGGGUGCAAUAACCUGCAAGUUAAGGACACGUGUAGGUUACAUGUUGGAUGAUGGAAGAUUUUUAUAGGCUAAUGUGAGAAUAAAAUGGGGAUUGAAUGGUAGAUUUUGAGAUUGUUACCGGCUAUAGC
rnacentral:lncRNA from 1 species